GAUGAACGCUGGCGGCGUGCCUAACACAUGCAAGUCGAGCGAACAGACGAGGAGCUUUCUCUCUUGCAGUUAGCGGGGGACGGGUGAGUAAAACGUGGAUAACCCACUUCUUUGACUGGGAUAACACCGGGAAACCGGAGCGAAUACCGCAUAAUAUAUUGAACCGCAGGAUUCAGUAGUGAUAGACGGUUUUGUCGUCACUUAUAGAUGGAUUCGCGCCGCAUUAGCUAGUUGGUAAGGUAGCGGCUGACCAAGGCAACGAUGCGUAGCCGACCUGAGAGGGUGAUCGGCCACACUGGAACUGAGACACGGUCCAGACUCCUACGGGAGGCAGCAGUGGGGAAUCUUCGGCAAUGGGCGAAAGCCUGACGGAGCAACGCCGCGUGGGUGAUGAAGGUCUUCGGAUCGUAAAACUCUGUUAUUAGGAAAGAACAAAUGUGUGAGAAACUAUGCACGUCUUGACGGUACCUAAACAGAAAGCCACGGCUAACUACGUG
rnacentral:rRNA from 1 species